AGAGUUUGAUCCUGGCUCAGGAUGAACGCUGGCGGCGUGCUUAACACAUGCAAGUCGAACGAUUAAAGCCCCCUUCGGGGGGUGUAUAAAGUGGCGAACGGGUGAGUAACACGUGGGUAACCUGCCCCUUACUCUGGGAUAACUUCGGGAAACCGAAGCUAAUACCGGAUACUCCUUUCAGGUCGCAUGGCCUGGUCGGGAAAGCUCCGGCGGUGAGGGAUGGACCCGCGGCCCAUUAGCUUGUUGGUAGGGUAAUGGCCUACCAAGGCGACGAUGGGUAGCCGAGCUGAGAGGCUGAUCGGCCACACUGGGACUGAGACACGGCCCAGACUCCUACGGGAGGCAGCAGUGGGGAAUUUUGCGCAAUGGGCGAAAGCCUGACGCAGCAACGCCGCGUGCGGGAUGAAGGCCUUCGGGUUGUAAACCGCUUUCAGCAGGGACGAAACUGACUGUACCUGCAGAAGAAGCCCCGGCUAACUACGUGCCAGCAGCCGCGGUAAUACGUAGGGGGCGAGCGUUAUCCGGAUUCAUUGGGCGUAAAGAGCGCGUAGGCGGCUUGUUAAGCGAGAUGUGAAAACCGGGGGCUCAACCCGCGGCCUGCAUCUCGAACUGGCAGGCUUGAGUCUGGUAGAGGAAAGUGGAAUUCCAGGUGUAGCGGUGAAAUGCGCAGAUAUCUGGAGGAACACCAGUGGCGAAGGCGGCUUUCUGGGCCACGACUGACGCUGAGGCGCGAAAGCUAGGGGAGCAAACAGGAUUAGAUACCCUGGUAGUCCUGGCUGUAAACGAUGGAUACUAGAUCUUGCCUGAAGGGCUUGGUCGUAGCUAACGCGUUAAGUAUCCCGCCUGGGGAGUACGGUCGCAAGGCUGAAACUCAAAUGAAUUGACGG
rnacentral:rRNA from 1 species